rnacentral:tRNA from 1 species
AAGGCUUUAAGUUAAUUAAACUAAUAGCCUUCAAAGCUGUAAAUAAAGUAUCUAUCUUUAAGCCUUA